rnacentral:rRNA from 1 species
GAUGAACGCACAAGACGUGCCUAACACAUGCAAAUCGAAUGAGAACAAUUUAAUUAUUGUUUUCAUGGUGAACGGGUGAGUAACACAUAAGAAUCAGCUUUUAGAUAAGGCAUAAAAGAGUAAUAUCUUGGUAAUUCCUUAUAUGCGCAGCAGUGCUUAAAAAGGGGAGUCCCGUCUAAAAACGAGCUUAUGCCUGAUUAGCUAGUUGGCGAGUUAAAAGCUCACCAAGGCGAAGAUCAGUAGCUGGCCUGAGAGGGCGGCCAGCCACAUUGGGACUGAG